rnacentral:rRNA from 1 species
GAGGAAUAUUGGUCAAUGGGCGCGAGCCUGAACCAGCCAAGUGGCGUGCAGGAUGACGGCCCUAUGGGUUGUAAACUGCUUUUGUAUGGGGAUAAAGUCAAUCACGUGUGAUUGUUUGCAGGUACCAUACGAAUAAGGACCGGCUAAUUCCGUGCCAGCAGCCGCGAUAAUACGGAAGGUCCGGGCGUUAUCCGGAUUUAUUGGGUUUAAAGGGAGCGUAGGCCGGAGAUUAAGUGUGUUGUGAAAUGUAGACGCUCAACGUCUGACUUGCAGCGCAUACUGGUUUCCUUGAGUACGCACAACGUUGGCGGAAUUCGUCGUGUAGCGGUGAAAUGCUUAGAUAUGACGAAGAACUCCGAUUGCGAAGGCAGCUGACGGGAGCGCAACUGACGCUUAAGCUCGAGGGUGCGGGUAUCAAACAGGAUUAGAUACCCUGGUAGUCCGCACAGUAAACGAUGGAUGCCCGCUGUUGGUACCUGGUAUCAGCGGCUAAGCGAAAGCAUUAAGCAUCCCACCUGGGGAGUACGCCGGCAACGGUG